CCGAAGGGAGAAUGCGUGUGUCUGGACAG
rnacentral:piRNA from 1 species